rnacentral:lncRNA from 1 species
CGGUGGAGUUGGAAGGGUUACGAGGUACUACCACUAGCCUCCCUCUUGUGCCGUCCCUAAUAUGCCCUACACCGAAUAGUUGGAUCAAAUAGUGCCGGGUACUACCACUAGCCUCCCCAUUGGCACCAUCCCUAUGAUGAGCAAUAUAGAAGGGUUAAAAUGUUCACUUCAAACUUUUUCUGUAAUUAAUUACGGAUUUUAUCUCUUCCAAAAGGAAUGUUCAUAUUAGUCUCACAAAUGUGCCAAAUAUAUUAUGCUUGUUUUGCUUUUUCUA